AUUGAACGCUGGCGGCAUGCUUUACACAUGCAAGUCGAACGGUAACAGGCCGCAAGGUGCUGACGAGUGGCGGACGGGUGAGUAAUGCAUCGGAACGUGCCCAGUCGUGGGGGAUAACGCAGCGAAAGCUGUGCUAAUACCGCAUACGAUCUAUGGAUGAAAGCGGGGGACCGUAAGGCCUCGCGCGAUUGGAGCGGCCGAUGUCAGAUUAGGUAGUUGGUGGGGUAAAGGCUCACCAAGCCAACGAUCUGUAGCUGGUCGGAGAGGACGACCAGCCAAACUGGGACUGCGACACGGCCCAGACUCCUGCGGGAGGCAGCAGUGGGGAAUUUUGGACAAUGGGCGCAAGCCUGAUCCAGCAAUGCCGCGUGCAGGAAGAAGGCCUUCGGGUUGUAAACUGCUUUUGUACGGAGCGAAAAGGCUCUCUCUAAUACAGGGGGCUCAUGACGGUACCGUAAGAAUAAGCACCGGCUAACUACGUGCCAGCCGCCGCGGUAACAC
rnacentral:rRNA from 1 species